rnacentral:rRNA from 1 species
GGCAUCGAGCAGAGGGAAAAGGAGCAAUCCGCUUUGAGAUGGCCUCGCGUCCGAUUAGCUAGUUGGUGAGGUAACGGCCCACCAAGGCGACGAUCGGUAGCCGGACUGAGAGGUUGAACGGCCACAUUGGGACUGAGAUACGGCCCAGACUCCUACGGGAGGCAGCAGUGGGGAAUAUUGCACAAUGGGGGAAACCCUGAUGCAGCGACGCCGCGUGGAGGAAGAAGGUCUUCGGAUUGUAAACUCCUGUUGUUGAGGAAGAUAAUGACGGUACUCAACAAGGAAGUGACGGCUAACUACGUGCCAGCAGCCGCGGUAAAACGUAGGUCACAAGCGUUGUCCGGAAUUACUGGGUGUAAAGGGAGCGCAGGCGGGAAGACAAGUUGGAAGUGAAAUCCAUGGGCUUAACCCAUGAACUGCUUUCAAAACUGUUUUUCUUGAGUAGUGCAGAGGUAGGCGGAAUUCCCGGUGUAGCGGUGGAAUGCGUAGAUACCGGGAGGAACACCAGUGGCGAAGGCGCCCUACUGGGCACCAACUGACGCUGAGGCUCGAAAGUGUGGGUAGCAAACAGGAUUAGAUACCCUGGUAGUCCACACUGUAAACGAUGAUUACUAGGUAUUGGAGGAUUGACCCCUUCAGUGCCGCAGUUAACACAAUAAGUAAUCCACCUGGGGAGUACGACCGCAAGGUUGAAACUCAAAGGAAUUGACGGGGGCCCGCACAAGCAGUGGAGUAUGUGGUUUAAUUCGACGCAACGCGAAGAACCUUACCAAGUCUUGACAUCCUGACGCACAUAGAAAUAUGUGUUUCCUUCGGGACGCAGGGACAGGUGGUGCAUGGUUGUCGUCAGCUCGUGUCGUGAGAUGUUGGGUUAAGUCCCGCAACGAGCGCAACCCUUAUGGUCAGUUACUACGCAAGAGGACUCUGGCCAGACUGCCGUUGACAAAACGGAGGAAGGUGGGGAUGACGUCAAAUCAUCAUGCCCUUUAUGACUUGGGCUACACACGUACUACAAUGGCGUUAAACAAAGAGAAGCAAGACCGCGAGGUGGAGCAAAAGUCAGAAACAACGUCCCAGUUCGGACUGCAGGCUGCAACUCGCCUGCACGAAGUCGGAAUUGCUAGUAAUCGCAGAUCAGCAUGCUGCGGUGAAUACGUUCCCGGGCCUUGUACACACCGCCCGUCACACCAUGAGAGCCGGGGGGACCCGAAGUCGGUAGUCUAACCGCAAGGAGGACGCCGCCGAAGGUAAAACUGGUGAUUGGGGUGAAGUCGUAACAAGGUA